GACGAACGCUGGCGGCGUGCUUAACACAUGCAAGUCGAACGGAAAGGCCCCUUUGGGGGUACUCGAGUGGCGAACGGGUGAGUAACACGUGAGUAACCUGCCCUUGACUUCGGGAUAACUUCAGGAAACUGGGGCUAAUACCGGAUAGGAAUCCUUGCUGCAUGGUGGGGGUUGGAAAGCUUCGGCGGUUUUGGAUGGACUCGCGGCUUAUCAGCUUGUUGGUGGGGUAGUGGCUUACCAAGGCUUUGACGGGUAGCCGGCCUGAGAGGGCGACCGGCCACAUUGGGACUGAGAUACGGCCCAGACUCCUACGGGAGGCAGCAGUGGGAAAUAUUGCACAAUGGGCGGAAGCCUGAUGCAGCAACGCCGCGUGCGGGAUGACGGCCUUCGGGUUGUAAACCGCUUUCAGCAGGGGCGAAGCUUUUGUGACGGUACCUGCAGAAGAAGCACCGGCUAACUACGUG
rnacentral:rRNA from 1 species